ACUCAGCUGACGAGUCCCAAAUAGGACGAAGUGCGCGUACUGGGU
rnacentral:hammerhead_ribozyme from 1 species